CCUACGGGUGGCAGCAGUGAGGAAUAUUGGUCAAUGGGAGCGAUCCUGAACCAGCCAAGCAGCGUGAAGGAAGACGGCCCUAUGGGUUGUAAACCUCUUUUAUCGGGGAAUAAAGUCCGGGACGUGUCCCGCUUUGCAUGUAUCCUAUGAAUAAGGAUCGGCUAACUCCGUGCCAGCAGCCGCGGUAAUACGGAGGAUCCGAGCGUUAUCCGGAUUUAUUGGGUUUAAAGGGUGCGUAGGCGGUCCGUUAAGUCAGUGGUAAAAUUUCGGGGCUCAACCUCACCAUGCCGUUGAAACUGGCAGCCUUGAGUUGGCGAGAAGUACGCGGAAUGCGCGGUGUAGCGGUGAAAUGCAUAGAUAUCGCGCAGAACUCCGAUUGCGAAGGCAGCGUACUGGCGCCAGACUGACGCUGAGGCACGAAAGUGUGGGUAUCGAACAGGAUUAGAUACCCUUGUAGUC
rnacentral:rRNA from 1 species